UACGUAGGGAGCAAGCGUUGUCCGGAAUCAUUGGGCGUAAAGAGCGCGUAGGUGGCUUUAUAAGUCCGUUGUGAAAGUCAAAGGCUCAACCUUUGAAAGCCGAUGGAUACUGUGAAGCUUGAGUCCGGAAGAGGCGAGUGGAAUUCCUGGUGUAGCGGUGAAAUGCGCAGAUAUCAGGAGGAACACCAAUGGCGAAGGCAGCUCGCUGGGACGGUACUGACGCUGAGACGCGAAAGCGUGGGGAGCAAACAGG
rnacentral:rRNA from 1 species